UCAAGUGUGACUUUGGGUUGGAAGAAAAACUCAACUUUCACUUCAGUUUCCUGCUUAAAAAAGGUAUAAAUGGGAAGAGAAACUAACUGAGCAAAUAGAAUGCGAGAGAGAAAGAAUGGGAAGGAAGAAAAAGAGGUGAGAAAAUGAAUGACGGCAAUGAAGUGCUGACAAAAUGCAUAGAAGAGCAAAGACAUGUGAAUGGCAGUGAAAUGAAAGUGGGGAAAGGACUGAAAGGACAACAAGCACCAGCAGAUGUAAGAAAAUAAAACAAUGACAUAGCAAAACAACAGCUCUCCAGCAUGACACUCGCCCUCUGCAGGCACGUGGGAAACACACAACACAACAUGACCUUCAAACCGAGGCUCUGCUCACAGCUGGCAGGUCGGAAAUAACAACAUAACUUGAAUACAGUCGAAAAAAGUUCACCUGGUUGUGGCUGUAGGUGGAGCAACAUUUGAUAUAAUCAGAAAACACACAGGCCAAGGUCAGUGGUUAGAGGAACUGGGUUUGUGUGUGUUUGCGCGCAUGCCAUUCAUUUUGCAGAACACAGCAGUCAAAAUAGACUUGUGCGUAUUUGUACGGCUCACCCACAUGACGUGUGUGUGUGUGUAUGUGGUGUACCAGGUUCUUCGUGGAAACGGCCAUCCGGAAUCUAAUGGGCGUGUUCCAGUUGGUUUGCUAUGUUCUCAGUUCGGAGGCUGCUGCAGUUCAAGUACCGUGUGAUAUUCUAGACAACACCUUGAAUAUAAUUUAACCUCAUUGUCUUCAUCAAACAGUGAAUUCCAGAGUAAACUUCUAAAUACCAGGAACACUUGGAUGCUUCACGCCUUGCUCGAAGGCUCCUCAGGAAGAGCAGGCCCAGUGCCAUAUGAUGAGCCAUGUGGAAGCCGUAGUUCAUCUCGCCGCCAGUUCGCUUGUGGAAGAAGCGACAGAGCUGCAGGACCUUCAGAUUCCCGGUGCCAGACAUCACCAUGGACAUAGCCAGCAGGAUCAUGGACAGACCGGUCUGCAGGUUGUAAUAACCAGUUUGCUGGGGAACAAACACACACAGGUUGGCACAAAGAGCAAGAAGGAACAAGGGAGAAACAUAAGAAAUUACAAAGUUCAACUCAUCUCAAAGUAUAAGUUAGUGAGGCUGUUGUCAUAACUGUGUAACUGUGACCAUCUUGUAAGGUCUAAGCACAAACUCUGAUAUAUACAAAUUAAAACACUUACAACAGCAGCUGUACCAGCAAAGGACAUGAUCUUCAUGAAGGUCCUGGCGAACUCGUAGAGGCAGUCAAACGCAUCAGAGUUGGCGGAGCCAGCGAAGCGUAGGCCCAGAGCCAUACAGGCCCCGGCUGUGAUGUAGUCCUGGGCUUGCCUGAGAGAAACAGAAAACAUGAGGUGCUCAGACAUGAUGGUGGAAGAGCAAAACUACAACCACCACAGAAGGUGGUAGAAGAAUCAUGGAUUAAGAGAAUAUUUCCAGGUUUAAAGUUGAAAAAUUAUGGCAGAUUUGAUCUCAAUACUCACGCCAUUGUCUCCAUGUUGAUGUCCUCUGAAGGGUCAAAUGUCCCCCUCAUGAUCUGGAAACCCAAAAAUGUAAUUGAAAAGUGUGUGCCAAUUACUUAUUUAUGAUAUACGUGGAAUAAAUAUAAGUGGCACAUGUUUUCUAA